rnacentral:lncRNA from 1 species
GGAGAGAAUGUAGUCACCGGAGUUUGUGAGAUGAGUUUUGGGUCUGUGUUCUGGAGCUUGGAUAAAAGCUUCGUCGAGUACUCCCAUGGUGUUUUUUUGUCGGUGAUUCUUAUGUUUAUCUUUUAAGGCUUUGGAAGAUAUCUGAUGAUUCUUGUGGUGCAUGCGGUUGGGUUUGUUUUAUAGGAAGAUGUCACGUGUAACAAAACGCUUUUAUUGGUAUGAUGAAUGUAGACACGUUUCUGUGAACAAUUAACUUUUUUCACAUUUGGUUAAUUAGGAAUUACAGUCAUGCCAGUUGUUGAAAGAGGACCAAAAUAAGCCAAAGAUGUAUGUAGACGGAGGAUAUUCAUAAAGUUCAUGAGCGUUUAAUAUAGACUAUAGAUGCCCCUUCUUGAAAAAAAAAAUUAACCAUUUUUUAUUUUUGCAAACAACCAUUACAAAAUGAGAGGAGGAUUAGUUCACAAGAAAAUAGUUCUGAAUCUAGACGGAAUCUUGGAAGGGUGGAGGAUGUGAUAGUGCCGGUCCGGACUCUUUCGACGCCUAAAGCGGAAAAAAUGUAUGCCCUUUAACUAUAAUUAAAAAAUUACGAUAUUUAAACAUGUAAUCAAAAUGGUACCAUAUAUUACUAAAAUUUAAAGUUGUUUAAAAUAAUAAAAACAUAAUCGGUAUGUCAUCUUAUAUAUUAUUUAUUUACAGUUUCAAUUGAGUAAUUUUCAAUUCUAUUUUUCUGAUAGUAUUUCCUAUAAAUAAAAAAUGAAAUAUAUAAAAUCAAGAAUAACUUAUGAUAAAAUUCACUUUAACUUCAACUUCACUUUGUAGAAUUUUAUUGGGUUUGGUAGUCUCAUAGAAUCUUAGAACCCUAUAAUAAUUUAUUUGUUUGCUUGGAUUUUAAACGUUACUACAAAAAUUAAUUACAAAAACCUACAAAAAAAGAAGUAAGAAGCAAUAAUAAAAAUUUAAUACGAGAUGCAGCUAUACUACUAAAAUCAAUCGCAAUGAAACGUGGAAAUAUAUGCACAAUUUAUAGUUCAAGUUAUUUGUUAUAACAUUUUUUGUUAACAGAACAAAACUGGAAAGAAGAUGUCUUUUAAUAAAAAAGGAAAAGACUACUAAGGUGGACGCAUACUUCCGAACCUGUCAGCUGUAGGACGAUAGAAUAAGUUGAGAGGACACUAGACCAAAGUGAAUUUCUUCCAAAUUGGCGCCCCUAAUGUCAAAUAUUCUUGGCGCCUGAAGCCAAUGCCUUAUGGGCUUUAGCCCAGGGCCAGCUCUGGAUGUGAUAUACGCAAGUCAAAUCUUAUUGGAUACUUGGAUCUCGAUCCGAAGUCUUAGAGUAGCAUUAUCCCUGAAACUCACUUAAGGGUGAUUAAAAAAAAAAAAAAUUAAAAAGUGCACCAAUCGCGGACCGUCACCGACCGCCACAUGUCGGUGGGAUCCGCGAACAGUACAAGAAACCCACCACAAUCGGUCCUUAUUUCAUGACUUUAGAGAUUGGUUUUUAUGGUUUAGUGGGGCCCACACAUUGCUUUUUUGAAAGAAACCCCUUUUAGAAACUCCAAUAAUGCUGCUUUUACAGCAUGAUUAACCCAGGUUCUUAAGAUGAGGUUCUUAGCUUCAGAUAACAACCGUUUCUUACCUUUUCUUAGUUUUUAACUAAGAAAAACUAAGAACCGUCUCUUAAAUAAGAGAUAUAGGAGCCGGUUCUUAGCCAAAAAAUGUAAAAAAAAUAAAACUUUGUGUCAAAUCAUGAGUUAAGAACCCCAAAUUAAGAACCCGGGUUAAUUAUGCUCUUAUAUAUUUGUCAAAAAAAAAAAAUUAUGACAUGAUUUUAAAGAACAUAUCAUAUAUUGUUUCCGACAUAAACUCAGUCUCUCACAUAUUAUUACAUUAAGGGCUUGCAUCAUAGCUUUGGUAAUAAAAAGUAGACACAUAGUACAUACUCUUAAUUAAGGAUCUGACUGGUUUAUCCGUUACCAUCUGCAAACGCAGCUUUUGCGGUCGAUAGCGGUUGACAACGUUUUGAAACAAUCAUAUAAACCGUUACAAAUCGCUUCAAACCGCUUUGAACCUCUUAAAAUCAAAAGAUGGUUCCAGCUAGCGUUUGCGGUUGCGAGCGGUUGCGGAUGGAUAAAUAAAUAUAAAUUGUUUUUCAAAAAUAUUUAAAAAUUUAAAAUUAAAAUUUUGAAAUGAAAGUAUUAUAAAUAAAAAUAUAUACAUGUUUUAUAUAUUAAUUUAAAUUCACAAACAGUAUAAUAAUUUGUUUUAUAAAAACUUUAAACUAACUAACUAUUCAUUAGAAUUUUUAAAAAUUAAUAUACAUACAUAUUCUUUUAAAGUUUGAUAUAAAUCUUCAAAAAAAUUAUAACUUUCAACUAAUUUAAAAAAUUAAAUAAAAAAAUAUAGUAAUAUUAUUAAUCAUAUUAUAUUGAUAAUUAUUAUAUUUUAUUACAAUAGUAUGUUUUUAUAUUUUUAUAAUGUUAUCCUUUAUAUAUUAAAAGAUAAGCAUUGUAAUGAAUGCAUUCACACUAUAGUAGACAUGUGGCAGCCUCUCAAUGAUUUGAUAAUAAGUAUGUUAAUGCGUUCACACUAUAUUCAUAAAUGUGUUCACACUAUGUACUUUGCAUUUUUUUAAUAUAAAAUUCACAUACAUGGUUCCAAUAAAACUCUGGAUUUUUCGGUUCGAAUAAAAAUAGAUAACGAAUCAAAAGCCAAACUAUAUAUAUAUUAUUUUUUAUUGUUUAUGGAUAAAGUUGAGAAAAAUAUUCUUAAAUUUUGAUUCUAUUCGUUAUCCGUUUUGAUUUGAACCAAAAAAUCUGGAUAUCCGUAACUGUACGAAACAAAUCAAAUACAAAAAUAAAAUAUCCCAAAAAGAAGCAAAUCACAAAUACCAAUAUUUUUAGGAACAUAUAUCUAAUUUGAUAUGUUAUAUGCAUAUAUAUACAUAUAUGUAAAGAAUUAUAUAUAUAUAUAUACGUUAUAUAUUAUACUUUAUAUCAGUUUUACAAUAUUUUUAUGAAUUAAAUUUAUUAUAUUAGGUACUUAAAUUUAAAAUUUUAAAUAAUGUUUUAUUUUUGUAAUAAAAUGUUAUUAUUUAAAUUUUCAAUUAUUUUUAAAAUUUUAUUUUAUUUACGGAUCAAAUCGGAUAUUCUUUAAAAUUCUAAAAUAUUUCAUAUAUCUGAGUCACCGAAUAUCUUGGUUGCUAAAGAUCGAAUUGACACGAAUGCUUCCAAAUACCCAGAUAUUCGAUUUGUGUCCACUCCUAUUUACGGAUACUGUUUUAUUUUCUUUAUAUGAAAAAAUGACUAAUGUCAAGGCCUUUUUAUUUUAAAUUAAUUUUAAUUUUAUCUUUCAUGUAUUAUUUUGACAAAAAUAUCAUUUAAUAUUAAUUAACAAUAUCUUUAUAUAUUUGUCAACUAUUUUUAUAUACUUUUUACAUACACAUACAUGUGCACUUUGAUGUGAGCACCUUGUAACUAAGUAUUCACCACAACUGAAGUAUCUAAUUUUUUUGAAAGUUAAAAUAUUUUUCUUAAUGCUUCUUUCACUACCGAGCAAAUUGUAGUGAAAUGAUUUGUCUUAAAAAAUUUCUUUUUCUUAAACUAUUAUCGGUUUAGAAACUCUAAUAUGAAAUUGGUUCGAUACGACAACUAUCUAAAAUUCAUAACAUGAAAAUAAACAAAUAAUAUUAAUUUUUGGUUUUUACCGGAAAAAACCAAAAAAUCAAACAUUUUAGCCGAAUAAACUAAAAUGAAUAUUAAUUUAAAAUAAUAGUAAUAUUUUAGAAGAUUAAAAGCCAAAAAAAAAACUUAAAACCGAACCAAUAUCCAGAUUAAACAGAUUUAAUGUCUUUAUAUAAAAAAUAACGAAACUAAUAAUCACAUCCCGCGCAAAGCGCAUGUUAUUACCUAGUAAUAUAUUAAUAUUGGUAAUUUAUUAUUAAACCGGUGCAAUAUCUUAUAAUCAACCAGUCACAAAUAUACCGCAAACACAACAAUUUUCAAACGUUGUACCAGUCAUACAAAACGCUUAAUAACACUUGAAAAUGCAACCACCCGCAUCCGCAAUCGCAACCGCUGCAUUUGAACCAAUCAGAGCCUAAGUUAUAAGGUUUCAGGACUCACUCUUCUAAUGGCUUCACUUCCACAUCAUGUGAAGGCAUCAAGAAGAAUGCUAUUUUUUUUCUCUUGGUGUACCAAUAAUCCCCACCACUCUAGGUUCUACAUUCCAAUACUUAUCAUUCAUGAUUCAUCCAUACCUAGUAGAAUUGAUAUCAAUACUAUUAAAACAGAAGGCCCUUUUUUUAGGUGCCCUUCUGUUUCAACAAUACUUACAGAUACAAGCCACUGAAGUAUUUAAAACCUAUGGUUUUUAUUUAAUUCUGUAUUUUCCAAUUUUACUUUUAAUUAACCAUAUUCGUUUUUGGUUUAGAUCUUCAUGGGUUGGGUGCGAUUCUGAUGGUAUGGAAAAAAGGGCUUCACUUUUUGUGGUUUUCGAAUGGUUGUGACUCGAGAUUUCGAGCUCCAGUAUAUAGAAACAAAGGAGGUUCGGAAGAUCUGUGAGAUCAGGGGCGGAUCUACUUAAGGUAAGUAUGGGGCAGUUGUCCCCCAUGAAAUUUAAAACUUUCCUUUAAAUGAUGAGUAUAUAUUUUAGUUGCCCCCAUUGAAAAAAUAAUUUCUGCCCCCGUAACAAAAUCUGUUUUCAAUGCUCAGUUCAAAAUCUCCAUUAUUUCCAUCUUUUACGAGGCCAUUUAUGAUAUUUCUAUUAGAAUUAUUAUGUUUCCAUAUUUGAUUUACGAACAUUAAACCAUUGUUUCCGUUUUAUAUAAUAAAUAAAAUCAAUUUGUGUUUGUUUUUUUUUUUUGUUUUUUGAACUUAAGAAAAUCAACUUGUUGCUUAAAAAUAAGUAGUUUUAUAACAUCAAAUAAAUAUCUAUUUAUUUAAUAAGUUAUAAUAAUCAGUUUUCUUUACUUUAUCAUAAUAUAUGCAAUGACAAUAAAAAUAUUAUUUUCAUUUUAGUUUUUCAUAUAUAAUUAUUAGUCCAUGAUUGAGAAAGAAAACACUAUUUAGGAAAAAAAUUAUAUGAUCUGAAUAUAUAUACUUGUAUUUUUCAUAUCAUGAAAAACGUGACUUUUUAUAUUUAUAAUUUCUGAUAUUUUUUAUUUUGUAAUUCAAUUAUAUAAGAACAGUUUUAGUUUUCCAUACAAUGGAUCUUGUAUAAUACACUUAUAAGUUGAUAGAAAAUAUAUUUAUAAAAUAUUUAAUACAAAUUUUGUUAAUGAUUAUUAACUGUUUGUCCCCGGUAAACUUUUCGGCUAGAUCCGCCACCGCGUGGGAUUGAUAUGGAUUGUGGUAUCACUACUGAAGGUUUUGUCAAGAUUCAUGGAAUCUCCGAUGUUAUUCGAUUCGAUUGAUCUUUUCAAAUUGCUCUAGUUAUUCACUCUCAUGAUUGAAGUGGGGAAAGAAUCUCUAAAGAGGGAAGAAAAUCUAUUAGAAGUAAUGGCUUCCGGGAUCACAUCAAAACAAAGGUUUCUCUAAUCUGUUUCUUUCUGAUGCAGAACAAGAGAAACAAAAUCAAAGGUAUAGUAGGCUCGACCUAGGCUACACAGUGUAUGGUUUUUUGGAAUGUACAGGUCAUCUCUUUAUUGUUGCAGUGCAGAAGGGUAAUGGCAUAUGUUGGGUCUGUUAAUGUAUUGUGGUUGUCUUUUGGUUUUUGCACGUUAUGUUCUUUGGGACUGUCAUGGAUCUGAACAUACAGAGAUAUAGAGUUUAUGUCUCUGGUUUACGUGGGCUAAGGUGGGGAGAAAGAAUAAAGAAAUCCUCACUGGAGUUUGGUUUCCUGAGACAAUAACUAUUCAUGUUUGGAUUUUAUAUGCAUGAGUUUUAUGCCAACUGACACAAUUUGGUCAAUCGAAGUGGCUGGUGAUUUGGAGAAGAGUGAUGGAGGGGCUAAGAUUCAGUCCCAUGAAGGAUGGUUUAUGAUAUUGGUUGAAUUUGUGGUACAUCAUUGGUGUUUUCUAGGUGCAGAUUAUUUUGGAAAGAGUCAAAAAGACACUUUCGUUUCCAAAAUUAAACAUGUAUUGUCUAAUAAUUGUGUUAACUUUGUUGUGUAAGUCCAUAUAUCGUUUGGUAAAAAAACAAUAUCUGGGUAUUUGUUUCUUUUGUCAAAAAUAAGUAUUUAUUUAUUUUAUUUAGAAUGGUCACUGUAUUUAUAUAAUUUUUAAACUGCAUCAUUGAAAUAAUGUGUUUUAAAUUGUAUUAAUAUUGUUGUUUCCAACAUAUAAAUACAUGUAGCUAUAUAAUGGCUUCUUAUUUAGAUUAUUUAUUUUUUAACAAUUUUGUAUGUAAUUACAUUUUAAAUUGUACUGAUAUUGUUGUUAAAUUUAUUCUUUUUAAAUAAGAUAGAUUGAUAGAAGACCUGUGUAAGUGUGAUAAAAGAGAUGAUAAAUUACUAAGAAGUGAAAUUAUAUUUAUAUUUACGAUGAAACUAAUAUUUACAAUGAAAAUGUUUAAAUAAAUUGUUUCAUAAAUAUAGAACACAAUUCUCAUUCCAUAUAAAUAUAUAUAGUUGGAUUAACAUAGACGUAAAAGAUCAAACUAGGACUGGGUAAAAAAUCUGAAUUCAAGGAAUCGAACCGAAUCUAAUCCGAAAUAUAAUAUUGAAUCCAAACCAAAAUUGGUUAAAUAUUCAAAUGGGUUCAAAAUUUUAGUAUAUAGAGAACCAAAACCAAAUCCGACUCAAACCUAAGUAUUUUGGGUAUCCAAGUUUAUCCGAAAUAGAUUUAUAUACUUAAAUAUAUUAAUUAUUUUAUAUUUAAUAUAUUAAAUAUCUAAAAUAUAUAAGAUUUUUUUUUCUAACGGCUUAUAAGAUAUUUUGAAGUUAUCCGAAUAUUUGAAAAUAUUUAAAAUAGUUAAAAGUAAAUGUCUAAAAUAGCUAAACAAUUUUCAAAACGCUAAACAAUUUUCAAAACACUAAAAAUAUUUAAAAUAUUUAUUGAUUCUCUAUCCAAAUAUUCAAUACAAAUCAAUUUAUAUGUUAAAUUUAGGUAUUUUAGCAAAUAUUUUUCAAAUUUAAAUGUAAUAUAUUGUUUUUAUUUUUAAAUUUUGAGAAAUUUAAAGAUAUAUAAAUUUAAAUUUUAAAAAAUAAUUUAAACGGGUUAUCGGAACACGAACUGAACCUGCAGUAAAGAUCUGAAGCGAAUCUGAACCAAAAUUUAGAAAUAUCUGAAUCGAGCUAAAAUUUGUAAUUUCAAAAACCCAAAACCUAAGUAGACCUGAAACGAAUCCAAAUUGGUACACGAACGCUCACCGUAGAUCACACAUUGAAAUCUAAAUGUUUUGUCUCUCAUUAAAUCGAAGUAAAAUAUAAUUAAAUUAAUAAUUUAAUUGAAAUUAUAUCAUGCGCUUUCAAAGCGCGGAUCAAUAUCUAGUAGUCAUUAUAAUUAGAUACUGCAUGUGUAUAUCUUAGAAAAAUGAGAAGUAAUAUCUAGAAUUUCACCUCCAUUGUAAUCCUCCAACUUUGUCUUGAGCCAAUAGACCGUGGGCAUGGUGGAUAACGAUUUAUCCUUAAGAAAACUCAUUUGAUCUUUAAAGUAAUCAUGGAAUGAGUUCUAAAAGCCUGAAUGCUAGCUUUUCAGUGUGUCUUACGUACUCGUCACAUGCCUCCCUAAAACUAAAUAAGAAAAAAGAGAUUAACUUGCAUAGUUGAAAAUAAAUUCUUUUACCGAAUUGCUUGUAUGCUAUGUCCUACAUGUAAGUUGUAACUUGUAAUAUUAAUGCAGCCUUGGAAGAUAGCGUUCACGUGCAUCCAGUAGAGUUGUGUACUUGUGUAAAGUGAUAAGAUUCUGAUCAUAUUGGUUAACUUUAGUUUUUUUUUUUUUUGUAACAAACACUUAUAUUAAACACACUAACCAAAGUUAGGUGGAGUUAUAAUGGCAAGUUCAACAGCCAAGCAUUGUUUAGCUAGAUUAUCAGCAUACCUGUUACUCUCACGAGAAAUCCUGGACCAAGAAAAUCACUCAAACGAGGAAACAGCAGAGAUGAUAUCUGUAAUUACUCCAAACACUUCAGUAAAAGAAGAGCCCAAAUUGAUUGCUUUAACUAGUUGCGCCAAGUCAGAUUCGCAUCUGGUAUUGGGAGGCCAAGAUUCCUGCACUUAAAAAUUGCCUCACGAAGCGCCAAAGCUUCAGCCGCAAGAGGGGAUGUCACAUGUCGAUAAAGAGCAGAGAAAAAGGAUAUUCUGUUUUGGUUUUCAAUUGUCCAACCAAGCCCCACCAUAUGGUGAUUCUCAUUCCACAAAAUAUCGAUUUUAACAAGGACACGGUUAAAACCGAUAUGUUUGGAAUGAGAGUAAAUGGAGACUGAUGAUUGCAUACUAUGCUAUAGAUGCUUAUUCUAUUUAUAGUUUUCAUAGAAUAAGCAGAGAAAAAAAUUCAGGAAUAAUUAAGAAGAAAGAUAAAGUGAUUCGGCUAUAGAAAAUUGGUAAUGUAUAUAUAUUUUGUGAGACUGAUGAUUGCAUAUUAUGUUUUUUUUUGGACCACAGCUUCUUUUCAUUAACUUCAACUUGCUUGAUUACAAAUGCUAGAGGAAAUUAUCCAUCCUCUAUGAUUGAAAACAUAAACUACAACAACAUAAAAUAAAAAGGUUAGGCCUUCAAAAGAAGAUGACAGCGAAAUCAAGACGGUGUUUGAAUGAGUCGUAGCCUUUACGACAUGCUUGGACAGAAGAAAGAUAGUCACUUUGAAUUGUGACGUUGACGUUGAUUAAUAUAAAUUCAUUAAUCAAGAUAUUUAAAAUAUUUUUCAAAUAUUCACUCUGCAUCACUUUUAAGAGGUUGGAGAAGUAAAACAUGAGUCAUGUUCAUUGACAUUAUUAGGAAAAGCAGCAACCAUGGUGGUCUCGGGUUUUUAGUUUGGCAAUUCCUUCCUGCGUCCGAUGUUGUUCAAUUGGUUCUUGAAGACAUCCCAAGCAACGACAUCAACUGCUUCAAGGCGAAGCCUCUUCUACCCUAAGCCCCUGCUUUCAAGGAGUAUUCACUUCUUCCGUUCUUCAAUUCCUUCCUCCUAAGCUCCGGUCCUUGUUUUUGUGUUUCCUGAGGCCAACGCUGUUCCCAUUGUGUCGCGUAGCCGGAUAGGGGGCCAUUUCGACCGUCUGCGCUUGACCGAAACCAAUGCUUCAUCUUCAUAUGGCGUUGAAAUCGGGUCUACAUGAUAGCAAAUGGGAGCCAACCGUCAUGCCUGCUUGGAGCCACUUCGGUGAGACCUGACUCUACUUCUCUUAUGGCUUUAUUCUUGUUGUCUCUGGUUGCUCCAGUCUUCGAGAAGUGCUUGGAGGGGGAGAUCAAUUGUUAGUCUUUUGUUCUAGUUUGGUAUUAUGUUCAAAGCCUCCAUUGUUUGGUUAAGAUUUGAUCAUAAUUUCUUUGUGGUUUAGCGGUUUUUUUUAAACUUUUUUGCACUUCUAAACUUUCAGAAUAGCUGAAAAGGAGAUUGUGGUUCCAUCAAAAUGUAACCAAACUUUCAUUCUUGCACUGAUAUUUACAAUCUUAGCAAAAAAAAGAAGGAAUAAUGGUUAUAAAAACAGAAAAAAUAAUAGUAGUGUGUUGACUCUAUCUUUGUUUUCUUGAUUUUUAAUGAUGGAUAUGACGAUGAAGGUUUUGAUUUUUGAUUAUAGUACUGUAAAAACAUUAUAAUGAUAAGCUAUAGAUUUUUAAAAGGUCUAAUUAAUGGCCUUUUUAUACAAAUGUAGUAGAAUAAAAGGCCAUAUUCUUCGAUAAUGCGUACUAACUACUAUUAUUUUUUCUGUUUAUACAUGGCAUCAAUUACAAUGUUCAUUAAGAAGUCCAAUUAUAAUACGUAUAAAUUUAGGUUUAUCAUGUAUAAAUCUAGUGAUGCCAUGUAUAAAUCCAGGCUGCAUUAUGUAUAGAUUCGGCUGGAGAUUCUUAAAUCAUUUUACGUUGUUUGACACAUAACUUCCGUCAUCCCUAAUUAGGUAGUCUUUCUAGCAAGGCGGGUCUUGUACGUAUCGAAUGGUUUAACCUUCCCUUCUUGUGAUGGGAGGAAGAACAAUGGUAUUAAGAAUGUAUCUUUGUGCUCUAUGUUCUGUAAAUUCCUGGGUAAUUAAGUGCUUCUUUAUUUAUUAUAUAUUUCAACUACAUAUUGAUAUAGAAGUAAACACAUGAGUCAUGUUCAUUGACAUUAUUAGGAAAUGUUGUGCUAAUAAACAUAGUAAGAUUACUUAAGCGGCCUUGAAGCGAUCAAUCUGGAUGCUCUCAGUUUGGAGCUUCUUGUAAUCACUUCUGUUUCUUGCAGCAAAGAACUUGCCCCAAUUGUACUUUUUGUAACAAGGCGGGUUGUCUUCGCUUAUAAGCUCCUUCAAUGGCUCAAUGUUGGUAUCGUGGGAUGGGAAAAGGAAGAAUGGCAUUGAGAAUCUCUCUUUGCUUGAAUUCACUACCACUCUAUGUUCUGCACUCCAAUACUUGUCAUUUGUCCAUACCUACUCCACACAACAAAUAUUAUAUGACCAAGUUACAUUAGACCCCAAAAUAUUUCGAGUUAAUAUAUAUACACAUAGACCCCUAAAUUGUUAAUUUUUUUUUAUUAAAUUGAUUUAAGUCCUCUAAAAUGUCAGGGUCAGCCCAAUAUAACCAGAUAACAUUCGAAGUUGACGUCUUUUACCUGCAUGCAGUUGCCAAUGUUAAUGAUGAAAGCAUCAGGGUUGGGUUUCACAGAGAACCAUUGUCCAUCUGAUCUACGGCUCACUUGUAACCCACCCACACUAUCUUGUGCCAAGACGGUUAUAACUCCUGCGUCUGCGUGGCGUCCAACGCCUAAUGCUAGCUCCGGGUUCGGGCAAGGAGGGUAAUGGUUAAACCGCAAAAAGCUUGUUUGGUCCUUGAAGUAACCUGUUAACCGAUCACCGGGUAGACCCAAGCUAAUGGAGAUAAGUUCCAAAAGCUUGAAAGCUAACUUCUCAACUUCUCUUGCAUAUUCUUGGCACACCUCUCUACCAAACAUGAUUAGUAUUAAUUAAACUUCAUAAUAAAUGGAUCCUAAUUAGGCCCAAUGGGCCUUAAUUAAAGCCUUGUUUUAAAGCGUGUUUUUAGAGAAUCACCUGAAGUCGGAAGGGUUUUGAGGCCACGGGUUAGUCAGCUUCCUGAGCUCGGUAUCUUCCGGCUCUGUAGUCGCCGGAACCGUCGUCGAGUCCUGCAAAAAGAAAUCGAAAAUCUCUUUCCAGUCUCUAACGUUUUUGGUAUGUUCUCCGUCGUGAUAACCCAUAGGGUUCACUUCAUCUCUUUUCACUCUUCUCUUCUCCUCCAACGUUAGACUGAAAAACUCGGCCACCGUCUUCUCCACCCUACGCAUUAAGUCCAACGACAAACCAUGGUUGAUCACCUGGAAAAAGCCCCAUCUCAUGCAUGCUUCUGCAAUCUCUGCCGCUAGCGCUGUCUUGUCGCAGUGUGGGUCUUGGAGAGAGGAGAGAUCGAUGGUCGGGAUCUCGUUGGAGAGAAUGUAGUCACCGGAGUUUGUGAGAUGAGUUUUGGGUCUGUGUU